rnacentral:rRNA from 1 species
GAUGAACGCUGGCGGCGUGCCUAAUACAUGCAAGUCCAGCGAACAGACGAGGAGCUUGCUCCUCUGACGUUAGCGGCGGACGGGUGAGUAACACGUGGAUAUCCUACCUAUAAGACUGGGAUAACUUCGGGAAACCGGAGCUAAUACCGGAUAAUAUAUUGAACCGCAUGGUUCAAUAGUGAAAGACGGUUUUGCUGUCACUUAUAGAUGGAUCCGCGCCGCAUUAGCUAGUUGGUAAGGUAACGGCUUACCAAGGCAACGAUGCGUAGCCGACCUGAGAGGGUGAUCGGCCACACUGGAACUGAGACACGGUCCAGACUCCUACGGGAGGCAGCAGUAGGGAAUCUUCCGCAAUGGGCGAAAGCCUGACGGAGCAACGCCGCGUGAGUGAUGAAGGUCUUCGGAUCGUAAAACUCUGUUAUUAGGGAAGAACAAAUGUGUAAGUAACUAUGCACGUCUUGACGGUACCUAAUCAGAAAGCCACGGCUAACUACGUG